rnacentral:rRNA from 1 species
GCCAGGGGGGGGCCUAUCAUGCAGUCGACGAACUCUGGUAAUGAUUGGUGCUUGCAUCAUGAAUUACAUUUGAGUGAGUGGCGAACUGGUGAGUAACACGUGGGAAACCUGCCCAGAAGCGGGGGAUAACACCUGGAAACAGAUGCUAAUACCGCAUAACAACUUGGACCGCAUGGUCCGAGUUUGAAAGAUGGCUUCGGCUAUCACUUUUGGAUGGUCCCGCGGCGUAUUAGCUAGAUGGUGAGGUAACGGCUCACCAUGGCAAUGAUACGUAGCCGACCUGAGAGGGUAAUCGGCCACAUUGGGACUGAGACACGGCCCAAACUCCUACGGGAGGCAGCAGUAGGGAAUCUUCCACAAUGGACGAAAGUCUGAUGGAGCAACGCCGCGUGAGUGAAGAAGGGUUUCGGCUCGUAAAACUCUGUUGUUAAAGAAGAACAUAUCUGAGAGUAACUGUUCAGGUAUUGACGGUAUUUAACCAGAAAGCCACGGCUAACUACGUGCCAGCAGCCGCGGUAAUACGUAGGUGGCAAGCGUUGUCCGGAUUUAUUGGGCGUAAAGCGAGCGCAGGCGGUUUUUUAAGUCUGAUGUGAAAGCCUUCGGCUCAACCGAAGAAGUGCAUCGGAAACUGGGAAACUUGAGUGCAGAAGAGGACAGUGGAACUCCAUGUGUAGCGGUGAAAUGCGUAGAUAUAUGGAAGAACACCAGUGGCGAAGGCGGCUGUCUGGUCUGUAACUGACGCUGAGGCUCGAAAGUAUGGGUAGCAAACAGGAUUAGAUACCCUGGUAGUCCAUACCGUAAACGAUGAAUGCUAAGUGUUGGAGGGUUUCCGCCCUUCAGUGCUGCAGCUAACGCAUUAAGCAUUCCGCCUGGGGAGUACGGCCGCAAGGCUGAAACUCAAAGGAAUUGACGGGGGCCCGCACAAGCGGUGGAGCAUGUGGUUUAAUUCGAAGCUACGCGAAGAACCUUACCAGGUCUUGACAUACUAUGCAAAUCUAAGAGAUUAGACGUUCCCUUCGGGGACAUGGAUACAGGUGGUGCAUGAUGUCGUCAGCUCGUGUCGUGAGAUGUUGGGUUAAGUCCCGCACGAGCGCAACCCCUUAUUAUCAGUUGCAGCAUUAGUGGGCACUCUGUUGAGACUGGCGUGACAAACCGAGAAGUGAGAUGACGUCAAAUCAUCAUGGCCCCAUUAUGACCUGGGGCUUAACACA